rnacentral:rRNA from 1 species
UACGUAGGGGGCAAGCGUUGCCCGGAAUUACUGGGCGUAAAGGGCGCUUAGGCGGCCCCGUAAGUUGAAUGUAAAAUCUCCCGGCUCAACUGGGCGGGGGCAUUCAAUACUGAGGUGGUUUGAGGGCAGGAGAGGGAAGUGGAAUUCCCGGUGUAGCGGUAAAAUGCGUAGAUAUCGGGAGGAACACCAGUGGCGAAGGUGGCUUCCGGGUCCGGCCCUGACGCUGAGGCGCGAAAGCCAGGGGAGCAAACGGG